rnacentral:tRNA from 1 species
UGGUAUUUAGUUUAAAGUAAAAUAAAUGAUUUCGACUCAUUAGAUUGUGAUUAAGCUCAUAACUACCAA